rnacentral:rRNA from 1 species
AAAAGGUGGCUAUGCUACCGCUUUUGGAUGGGCCCGCGGCGCAUUAGCUAGUUGGUGGGGUAAAGGCUUACCAAGGCAAUGAUGCGUAGCCGAACUGAGAGGUUGAUCGGCCACAUUGGGACUGAGACACGGCCCAAACUCCUACGGGAGGCAGCAGUAGGGAAUCUUCCACAAUGGGCGAAAGCCUGAUGGAGCAACGCCGCGUGGGUGAAGAAGGUCUUCGGAUCGUAAAACCCUGUUGUUAGAGAAGAAAGUGCGUGAGAGUAACUGUUCACGUUUCGACGGUAUCUAACCAGAAAGCCACGGCUAACUACGUGCCAGCAGCCGCGGUAAUACGUAGGUGGCAAGCGUUAUCCGGAUUUAUUGGGCGUAAAGGGAAUGCAGGCGGUCUUUUAAGUCUGAUGUGAAAGCCUUCGGCUUAACCGGAGUAGUGCAUUGGAAACUGGGAGACUUGAGUGCAGAAGAGGAGAGUGGAACUCCAUGUGUAGCGGUGAAAUGCGUAGAUAUAUGGAAGAACACCAGUGGCGAAAGCGGCUCUCUGGUCUGUAACUGACGCUGAGGUUCGAAAGCGUGGGUAGCAAACAGGAUUAGAUACCCUGGUAGUCCACGCCGUAAACGAUGAAUGCUAAGUGUUGGAGGGUUUCCGCCCUUCA